CAAGAUAUAUCUUAAUAUAAAAGAAAUGAAUUUUUAAUUCAUAAAUAGUAAAUAUAAAUAAUUUACUUAUCUUGA
rnacentral:tRNA from 1 species